rnacentral:rRNA from 1 species
UACAGAGGUGGCAAGCGUUGUUCGGAAUUACUGGGCGUAAAGGGCGCGUAGGCGGUUCGUUAAGUCCUGUGUGAAAUCCCCCGGCUCAACUGGGGAACUGCCUUUGAUACUGGCGACCUUGAGUUCGGGAGAGGUGAGUGGAACUGCGAGUGUAGAGGUGAAAUUCGUAGAUAUUCGCAAGAACACCAGUGGCGAAGGCGGCUCACUGGCCCGAUACUGACGCUGAGGUGCGAAAGCGUGGGGAGCAAACAGG